GUUGUGGCUCAGUGGUAGAGCACUAGCCUAGUACAUGUGAGACCCUGGGUUCCAUCCUCAGCAUCACA
rnacentral:tRNA from 1 species